rnacentral:rRNA from 1 species
GAUGCAGCGACGCCGCGUGAGGGAAGAAGAUUUUCGGAUCGUAAAGCUCUGUUGUAAGUCAAGAACGGGUGUGAGAGUGGAAAGUUCACACUGUGACGGUAGCUUACCAGAAAGGGACGGCUAACUACGUGCCAGCAGCCGCGGUAAUACGUAGGUCCCGAGCGUUGUCCGGAUUUAUUGGGCGUAAAGCGAGCGCAGGCGGUUUGAUAAGUCUGAAGUUAAAGGCUGUGGCUCAACCAUAGUUCGCUUUGGAAACUGUCAAACUUGAGUGCAGAAGGGGAGAGUGGAAUUCCAUGUGUAGCGGUGAAAUGCGUAGAUAUAUGGAGGAACACCGGUGGCGAAAGCGGCUCUCUGGUCUGUAACUGACGCUGAGGCUCGAAAGCGUGGGGAGCG